rnacentral:rRNA from 1 species
UGUAAGCGUAUACCAAAGUUGUUGCAGUUAAAACGCUCGUAGUCGGAAUUUGGCAGUUCCGGAUGUGUGCACGUCGUGUGCGCACUUCGCGGGGAUUGCUUUUGUGGUCUUGCGUAGGAUGAGGCACUUUUAUUAGUGAACGUCCUCACGCAACCACUUUUUACUGUGAGAAAAUCAGAGUGCUCAAAGCAGGCACUUGCCGUGAAUGUAUUAGCAUGGAAUAAUAGAAUAGGACUUGGUUCUAUUUUGAUGGUUUGUUGGGACUGAGUAAUGAUUAAGAGGGACAGUUGGGGGCAUUUGUAUUUCGGUGCUAGAGGUGAAAUUCUUAGAUUACCGAAAGACAAACUGCUGCGAAAGCGUCUGCCAAGGAUGUUUUCAUUGA